AGAAUCAACGCUGGCGGCGUGCCUAACACAUGCAAGUCGAACGCGAAAGCCCCGCAAGGGGCAAGUAGAGUGGCAAACGGGUGAGUAACACGUGGGUGACCUGCCUUCGAGUGGGGGAUAACGUCCCGAAAGGGACGCUAAUACCGCAUGGCAUCCUGCCUUUAGAGAGGUGGAGAUCAAAGCCGGGAUCGCAAGACCUGGCGCUUGAAGAGGGCCCGCGUCUGAUUAGCUAGUUGGUGGGUAACGCUCACCAAGGCAACGAUCAGUA
rnacentral:rRNA from 1 species